GAUUAACCGCUCGCGAGCGCGCACUCACGCACGCUAGGCCUUAUUUUAUUUGUUUUAAACGCAGAUGUAUUCGCUUUUCUCGUGCUAGCGUUUCCGAGUCCAGCAGGGGCCACGGUCUCUCGCCACCUCGACUGUAACUGAAUAAAACCGCGUCGAAUUGCGAGCAGCUGAUAUUUGAUCGCAGUGCGCGAGUUGUGUGAAUCCCGUCCUCGCGCACAGACACUUUAGGUGAACUGCGAGCACGUGACUGUGUGGAGGCGGUGACGUCAUGUAAUGACUCAGCAGUCUGUCUGUGUUGUGUUGUUCGUUGUGGCGAUGUGGCGAAGAUUCCAAGAAAAAUGCCAACAACAACAUUCUUAAGAAGCUUUAAUAAGAAUGCAGAGCUUUAUUUGACAACAUGUAUUACAGGUCAUGACUGAAAUGCUACAGGACUGAACAGGCCAGAUUGUAGAUUUCCACCCCCCACUAAAAAAAUCUGAAAAAGCAGAUUUUUCUAAACUUUACUAUAAUAUAACAUAACUUAAAUAGUGAGUGAAUCUGUUCCAAU